rnacentral:rRNA from 1 species
CAGCCGCCGCGGUAAUACGAAGGGUGCAAGCGUUGUUCGGAAUUACUGGGCGUAUAGCGCACGUAGGCGGCUUGGUAAGUUAGAGGUGAAAGCCUGGAGCUCAACUCCAGAAUUGCCUUUAAGACUGCCGAGCUAGCAGGUGAGAGAGGUAAGUGGAAUUCCGAGUGUAGAGGUGAAAUUCGUAGAUAUCCGGAAGAACACCAGUGGCGAAGGCGGCUUACUGGCUCAUACUGGGCGCUGAGGUGCGAAAGCGUGGGGAGCAAACAGGAUUAGAUACCCCUGUAGUCCCUGUCUCUUAUAC